rnacentral:rRNA from 1 species
UACGUAGGGGGCAAGCGUUGUCCGGAUUUAUUGGGCGUAAAGAGCGUGUAGGCGGUUAGGUAGGUCCGUUGUGAAAACUCGAGGCUCAACCUCGAGACGCCGAUGGAAACCAUCUGACUAGAGUCCGGAAGAGGAGAGUGGAAUUCCUGGUGUAGCGGUGAAAUGCGCAGAUAUCUGGAGGAACACCGGUGGCGAAGGCGGCAUCCUGGACCGGUAUUGACGCUGAUGCGCGAAAGCCAGGGGAGCAAACGGG